UCUCUUUGUUCUCUCUGCUCCUCCAGGCUAUGAGCCGGCCUGUGACAACAUGGCCGGGGCCGGCGACGCGUGGCCCGCUGGCCAGCUCACGGCCGCCUCUUUUCACCGAAUCAGGCGGCGCUUAUGGCUGAAAAACGCCAUCCGGACCAUCCGGUUCCUCCCUCAGGGAAAAGUGCUCGCGAACGGGCUGCUUCUAACAAAAGCGCUACUCUGCAGGAGCACUCAGCGGAUGGAAAUAAAGAAUCGGAUGCUAUUAGCGAUGGCCCCCGAGCUGCAGCCAACUAUUGGAAGUGUGAGAUUGUCCGUUCUUUUACCAUUCAUUAAACUCAGUCACUAACUGAAAAGAACCAUGUGUUUACCAUGUAUCUACUGCACACACUGCAGGCUUUAUCCUUCCUUUCAACUUUUUUUUUUUUUUUGGUGUCUUGCCUUUUUCUGGUUAUCAUGCCGUAUCUGCGUCAAAGAGGGUAAACAGACACCCUCGCUGAGAGACUUC
ensembl:lncRNA